CCUUGUUCAGUAUUUUUAACUCACCGAACGGGGGGCUGAUUAGCCUCUCCGUUCGGGAGUUAUGGAGCUCUGGAGUUCUCAGCGGUGUUCGGGUAAUUGAGUGUCCGAUUUGAGUUCCAGACACUCGACGCCCAAACACCGCUGAGGGUUCGUGCAUAAGAUGGCCGCCGCCAUGUGUUCGUAUGCCGAACAGCGGCCACCCAAAUACAUGCAUAAAGUAUCAAUUAACAUGCGGUUAGAGCAGUGUGAAGCCUAAUAAGGUGCAC